rfam:Oceanobacillus picturae, S1, WGS project CCAX01000000 data, contig: 000002
AGAAUGAAUUUAAUAGAGAUGCGUAUAAUUUCGGGAAUAGGGCCCAAAGUUUCUACCGGAUCACCGUAAAUGAUCUGACUACGCAGAAAAGCAAUCGUUUG